UUCCGGUUGAUCCUGCCGGAGGCCAUUGCUAUGGGGGUCCGAUUUAGCCAUGCUAGUCGCACGGGUUCAGACCCGUGGCGAAUAGCUCCGUAACACGUGGUCAAACUGCCCUGUGGACUCGGAUAACCUCGGGAAACUGAGGCUAAUUCGGGAUACGACUCGAUGCCUGGAGUGGCUCGGGUCCGAAACGUUCUGGCGCCACAGGAUGUGACUGCGGCCGAUUAGGUAGACGGUGGGGUAACGGCCCACCGUGCCGAUAAUCGGUACGGGUGAUGAAAGUCAGAGCCCGGAGACGGUAUCUGAGACAAGAUACCGGGCCCUACGGGGCGCAGCAGGCGCGAAACCUUUACACUGCACGGAAGUGCGAUAAGGGGACCCCGAGUGCGAGGGCAUACAGUCCUCGCUUUUCACGACCGUAAGGUGGUCGUGGAACAAGAGCUGGGCAAGACCGGUGCCAGCCGCCGCGGU
rnacentral:rRNA from 1 species